rnacentral:misc_RNA from 1 species
AAAAAAGCUUACUGUAAAAUCCACAGCUCUCCCAGCACGCGAGUUCAAGGUUCUUAAAAACCUCCUCCCAAAAGUCGUCUGACAGAAAACAUGGACCGUCUUUCCAACACAUUUUCUGUGCUGGACCUCGACGCUGAAGAUGAUCAGGUGGACGCUGUCCUGACCUCCUCGGUUUCUACUUCUACUUCUUCCUUCCGAGAUAAACCAGUCUCUACCAAUAAAAAGGAACCGAGUAGGGAUAUUGUAAAUGGAUCACUCUCUAGUGUGCUGAUAGAAAAUGGGAAACAGAAUGAACAAAAUCUAGUCACAUCUGCAGUGGAGUACAAGAUGCCUCUUGUUUGGAUUGACAUGGAAAUGACUGGUUUGAAUAUUGAAGUUGAUAGAAUACUGGAGAUUGCAUGUAUAAUUACAGAUGGCAAUUUGACUAAAUCAGUGGAGGGUCCCGAUUUGGUUAUCCAUCAGAGUAAAGAGUGCUUAGAGAAGAUGGGAGAAUGGUGUCAAAGUCAUCAUGCAGCUAGCGGUCUGACAGAGAAAGUGCUCCAAAGUUCAGUGAGUGAAGGAGAGGCUGAAAAGCAGGUGAUAGAAUUUGUUAGGAGACAUGUCGGUACAUACACACCUCUUUUGGCAGGCAAUUCAGUGUAUGUGGAUUUUCUGUUUUUAAAGAAAUAUAUGCCAGAUUUGGCCAGUCUCUUCUCUCAUGUUAUUGUUGAUGUUAGCAGUGUUAAGGCUUUGUGCAUUCGCUGGUAUCCCAGAGUGACAGUGCUGGUGUAGCGUGGUCUGCUCCGAUGGCAGAAGUAGAGUCUUUGGAAGAUGGCAAGGCACUGACUGUGGAUUUCCAAUUGAGUUGCAGUAUGAGUUGGAAUUUUACCUGAUCAGAACUUCAAUUCCGGUGAACGUUUAGCGACUGGACUUGCUUUGCUGGAAAUGCCUUGGGCAAGCAGUUGUUUGACUGUGCAGUUGCAGUUGUCUGGCGAAGGGAGAGAUGGUGGGCAUUGAGGAAAAUAGCAGGGUCUUGAGAAGCUCUAUUCUGCAAAACGGUUUCACAAAUUUUUUUUUCCCAAACAGCAAAGGAAAUUUUGACUGAAUCUAAACUCAGGUUGGAUUUUUCUAAUUAUGAUACCAAAUUGAUGUAGAACAAGCUUUGACGCCAAACUGAUGUAGAAUCAAUAGGGUUGUGGGGAAUUAGGGUUGAGACAAAUUCUAUGGAUGGAGAAACACAUUGUCUAGAGAAACAAAUUCUCAAAUUUUUAUUGAUUAUCAACAAUAAUAUCAUAAUAAUCUCUCCAAAAAUAUCUAGAUUAUGUAGGUAUUUAUAGACUAAUACUAAUGCUGCUACUAGUAGAUUAGGAAACCCUAAAUAUGAAAUACAAAUCAAACUCUAAUGAGGAGAAUAUAAAAUCAAUUAAACUUCCUAAGUAUAAUAAAAUUCUACUUCCUAAUUAAUAGAAAUCUAAGAUUCUUAAUUUCACAAUGAAAAAUUAAAUUAUAAUGAUUAAGAAAUAUCAUCUUCCUAUACUGCAUCAAUCACAUUUUUGUGUAAACCAAAAAUAGGAAUAUCAUAUUCUGUACACCUCCUGCAUCUCAAGAAGCAAUUAGCAUCCAAAUGGAAUAAAGAAGUUAAAAUGUUUUGGGAAUCCUUGAUGUGUGAAAGAAGAAAUGUUACCUAAUAGGAGAGUCAUUGGUGGUCGAUCUAUAAAUUAGUUAUGCAUGCUUUUUUACUUUAUUAAUUUCACUACUUCUAGCUCUAGCAUAAUAAUUUUUAGUAUAAGGUAAUAUUAUGCUCAUGGUUCCUGUUUUCCGAGGAAAACUUCUUUUUUUAAACAUCAAAAGACAUUUUAUUCCUGUUUGGUUGUUGUUUUGGAAAGAAAAUUCUCUAUAUAAGAUGCGCUAAAAACAUGAAAAAUUUGUAUCUUCAGUUUCCAAAAUUGUUCCUACAAUGAACCAUUAAAAGAUUUCCUGCUUUUUUUUUUAAGACCUUCAGAAAGCAGAUAACAUAAAACAAAGCCAAUUAGUUCUUCCAGGAAUUUCAGGAAGACCAUUGGAAAUGACAGAAUGAAUUUCUUUUAAAAAGUCAGAGGCCAAAAUUCUUUGAUUUUGCAUCAUCUCCAUGAAUAUCAAAUUGGUCAAAUACAUACUUGCAUCCUUCUUGUAUUUUAUUAAUUACCUGUAACUUGUAAAAAUUAUAACAAUUAAAAACAAAUUAGCCAUGUCCUCAAUGACUUGGCACAAAUGGUCAAAAAUGGUCUCACUUAUCGCUGGCGGUGCUCUAAAUUUUGCUUUCCAUGCUUUAAAAUUUCAAAAAAUUGAUGAAGUUACGGUCAACAUAAUUAGUAAAAUUUAGAAUACAAUUUGUAAUAAGUGGGACCAUUACUAGCUUGUUUUGACAAAUCAUCGAUGAUAUGACUAAUUAGUAUUUGGUUAUGAUUUAUAUAAAUCCAGGUGUUCAAUAGGUUAUGAUUUUAGUUCAGAUGUUCAAUGGGUUAAAAUCUCAAAUAGUACAGGUGUCAUAUAUUUGGCCAUAUCAAAUUAUUAAUUGUGCAUGUAUGCAUGUCAGCAUCUGUGCUCAUAUAUGACUAGCUGAGAAAAGCUUGAGCUCCUUAAAUACUUCUAUGCCUGGUUCAUUCACUAAAAUCAGUUUGUUUGUGAAUGAUCAUUUCACUUGCAGAUCAGAAGAAAGCCCCUUCAAAGGAAAACAAACAUAGAGCCAUGGAUGAUAUUAGAGAGAGCAUUAGAGAGCUGAAAUACUACAAGGAGAAUAUAUUCAAGGCAAAGUCGAAGAAGUGAUCAGACUAGCUUUAGUUUGUACGUAUCUCUGUAGGGAUAUAUCAUCUAUAUAGCAAUUGCCACCCUGUCGCUAGCUUUUAUGAGGAUGGGUUCAUUUCUUGGUCAAGGGAAGAUAUGAUUUUGGUUGAAAUAUUCUCUUUUAAUUAUUAACAGCGUCAAAUUUAAAUUAGAUGUCUGAUAUUUAGUUCCAAACAAGUUAAUUUUGCGCAUUUGUGCAUAUAUUUUAAUUUAUAAACAAAAUUAAGGGUGUGGGGGGAGUGGAGAAUUUUGGGUUUAAUUUUAUCAAUCCCCUGAGAUAGUGUGAAUUCUGUUUCGUAAAGGGUAUCUAUUUCCCGAGUUCUUCAUUUUGGAAUGGUUGAUUGGCCGGAAGGGAAGUGCUUAAGGAAUAAGAUCUAAUAUCAGAGACGGAACCAAUACUCUGUUAUGGGAGGAACCUUAGGUUCCAAAUUCUUAAAGCCUCAUGGUAGAAUGCCCCUUAAAUUGUCCUAUGAAUCUUAACCUCGUUUAAGAACUUAUUGUUCAUGAAUGUUUGGUCUGGACAGAAGAUUUGGUCAAGAGCCGUUUCAAUGAAGAUACGGCUCAAAUUAUUUUGUCCAUCCCGGUGGCCCCUGGGGCGGUGUCAAGAUAAAAUUAUUUGGCCUCAUCACAGGUUGGGUCAAUAAACGGUGAGAUCGAGCUACAGAACCCUUGUUAAAAAUGAUCGAAGGCAGCAAAUGGAUCGUCCUAGGCAGUCUCUCUCCGUUCCCCAACAUGUGUGGAAGAGAUCUUGGAAGCUUUCUACUUGUUUUGAACUUUAAUGCUAUUUUUCGUAUGUUGUAAUGAAAGAUAUAUUGUAAUCGCAAUUAAUCAUACUUAAAGUAACGUAAUGGUCAUUAUAUAUAAAAAUAAGUGUAAUUAUGAUUUUAUUUUGAUUUUUUUAUUUAUUGUUAAUAUUAUCAUUACAAUCACUAGUUGGCAACCAUUGCUACUAUAAUUACUAUUUCUAUUCU